UAAUAGCCCUGAUAGAAGCGACAUCCUUUUUGAACACUGAGCGAAGUCGAAGUGUAUUACAAAAAGAUAAAGCGGAUAGCAGGAAAUAGC
rnacentral:sRNA from 1 species